GACGAACGCUGGCGGCGUGCUUAACACAUGCAAGUCGAACGGUAAGGCCCUUCGGGGUACACGAGUGGCGAACGGGUGAGUAACACGUGGGUGAUCUGCCCUGCACUUCGGGAUAAGCCUGGGAAACUGGGUCUAAUACCGGAUAGGACCACUGCCUGCAUGGGUGGUGGUGGAAAGCUUUUGCGGUGUGGGAUGGGCCCGCGGCCUAUCAGCUUGUUGGUGGGGUGAUGGCCUACCAAGGCGACGACGGGUAGCCGGCCUGAGAGGGUGACCGGCCACACUGGGACUGAGAUACGGCCCAGACUCCUACGGGAGGCAGCAGUGGGGAAUACUGCACAAUGGGCGCAAGCCUGAUGCAGCGACGCCGCGUGAGGGAUGACGGACUUCGGGUUGUAAACCUCUUUCAGCACCGACGAAGCGCAAGUGACGGUAGGUGCAGAAGAAGGACCGGCCAACUACGUGCCAGCCGCCGCGGUAA
rnacentral:rRNA from 1 species